rnacentral:rRNA from 1 species
AGCAGCCGCGGUAAUUCCAGCUCCAAUAGCGUAUAUUAAAGUUGUUGCAGUUAAAAAGCUCGUAGUUGAAUUUCGGGAUCAAUAUGUUGGUCGUGCCUUGGUACGUACUGGCAUUAUCGAUUCCUACCUUCUGAAGAAUCUCGAUGUCAUUAAUUUGGUGUCUUGGGGAAUCAGGACUGUUACUUUGAAAAAAUUAGAGUGUUUAAAGCAGGCUCGCGCUUGAAUACAUUAGCAUGGAAUAAUGAAAUAGGACGUUUGAUUCUAUUUUGUUGGUUUCUAGGAUUGACGUAAUGAUUAAUAGGGAUAGUUGGGGGCAUUAGUAUUCAAUUGUCAGAGGUGAAAUUCUUGGAUUUAUUGAAGACUAACUACUGCGAAAGCAUUUGCCAAGGAUGUUUUCAUUAAUCAAGAACGAAAGUUAGGGGAUCGAGGACGAUCAGAUACCGUCGUAGUCUUAACCAUAAACUAUGCCGACUAGGGAUCGGAUGAUGUUAAUUUUUAAUGACUCAUUCGC